CUUCAGCGAACCGAGCCACAGCGGUGUCUCCGCCGGUCGCCCCUUCCCGUAGGUGGCGAUCAGCGCCUGCGCCUC
rnacentral:antisense_RNA from 2 species